rnacentral:rRNA from 1 species
CCUGUGCACUUUUGUAGACUAUGAUAACUCUCAAUGAUAAUUUUUUAUCUAUUGGAUUGAAGGACUUUUGCGUUUCAGCUAGUCUUCUUCAACUUCAUAGUCUACGUCUUAUCUAUAAACAAAGUCUUAGAAUGUCUUUUAAUGGGUCUUUUGACCUAUAAAAACUAAUACAACUUUCAACAACGGAUCUCUUGGCUCUCGCAUCGAUGAAGAACGCAGCGAAAUGCGAUAAGUAAUGUGAAUUGCAGAAUUCAGUGAAUCAUCGAAUCUUUGAACGCACCUUGCACUCCUUGGUAUUCCGAGGAGUAUGCCUGUUUGAGUGUCAUUAAAUUCUCAAACCUCAAUUGACUUUAUUGACAAAUGAGGCUUUGGAUGUGGGAGUUUGCUGGCUUCUAACAAAGUCAGCUCUCCUUAAAUACAUUAGUGGUUACUGUUCCCCACUAUCUGGUGUGAUAAUUAUNUACGCCUUGGUGGGGUUGUUAAGUGUAGCUGCUCUCUAACCGUCUCUCGAGACAACUUGAACCUUUUGACCUCAAAUCAGGUAGGACUACCCGCUGAACUUAAGCAUAUCAAUAAGC